rnacentral:rRNA from 1 species
UUGAGAGCGGCGGACGGGUGAGUAAUGCCUAGGAAUCUGCCUGGUAGUGGGGGAUAACGUCCGGAAACGGACGCUAAUACCGCAUACGUCCUACGGGAGAAAGCAGGGGACCUUCGGGCCUUGCGCUAUCAGAUGAGCCUAGGUCGGAUUAGCUAGUUGGUGGGGUAAUGGCUCACCAAGGCGACGAUCCGUAACUGGUCUGAGAGGAUGAUCAGUCACACUGGAACUGAGACACGGUCCAGACUCCUACGGGAGGCAGCAGUGGGGAAUAUUGGACGAUGGGCGAAAGCCGGAUCCAGCCAUGCCGCGUGUGUGAAGAAGGUCUUCGGAUUGUAAAGCACUUUAAGUUGGGAGGAAGGGCAGUAAAUUAAUACUUUGCUGUUUUGACGUUACCGACAGAAUAAGCACCGGCUAACUCUGUGCCAGCAGCCGCGGUAAUACAGAGGGUGCAAGCGUUAAUCGGAAUUACUGGGCGUAAAGCGCGCGUAGUGGUUCGUUAAGUUGGAUGUGAAAUCCCCGGGCUCAACCUGGGAACUGCAUUCAAAACUGACGA